rnacentral:pre_miRNA from 1 species
CAACUACUCCCUCCGUCCCAAAAUUCUUGUCUUAGAUUUGUCUAGAUACAGAUGUAUCUAAUACUAAAAUGUGACUUGAUACAUCUGUAUCUAGACAAAUCUAAGACAAGAAUUUUGGGACGGAGGGAGUACUUU